rnacentral:rRNA from 1 species
AGAGUUUGAUCCUGGCUCAGAAUGAACGUUGGCGGCGUGGAUUAGGCAUGCAAGUCGUACGCCCCGCAAGGGGCGUGGCGCAAGGGUGAGUAAGGCGACGGCAACCAACCUGGGGGCCGGACAUAGCCGCGGGAAACUGCGGGUAAUAUCCGGCGCCGUCGGGGGCGGGCAUCUGCCCCCGACGAAAGGUGUGACUCCGCCCCCAGACGGGCCGUCGUGGUAUUAGCUAGAUGGCGGGGUAACGGCCCACCAUGGCUGCGAUGCCUACCGGGCGUGCGAGCGUGGCCCGGCACACUGGGACUGAGACACUGCCCAGACUCCUACGGGAGGCUGCAGUCGAGAAUCUUCGGCAAUGGGCGCAAGCCUGACCGAGCGACGCCGCGUGGAGGACGAAGGCCUUCGGGUUGUAAACUCCUGUCGAGGGGGAGGAAGGGGCAACCUUGACCGAUCCCUGGAGGAAGCACGGGCUAAGUUCGUGCCAGCAGCCGCGGUAAGACGAACCGUGCGAACGUUAUUCGGAAUCACUGGGCUUAAAGCGCGUGUAGGCGGAUCGCCGCGUCGGCUGCUGAAAUCCCCCGGCUCAACCGGGGAACGGGCACCGAUACGGGCGGUCUCGAGGGGGGUAGGGGGGUCUGGAACUUCCGGUGGAGCGGUGAAAUGCGUUGAGAUCGGAAGGAACGCCCGUGGCGAAAGCGAGGCCCUGGACCCUUACUGACGCUGAGACGCGAAAGCCAGGGGAGCGAACGGGAUUAGAUACCCCGGUAGUCCUGGCCGUAAACGAUGAACACUGGGUAGGGGGCUCGCCGAUGGGCUCCCUGCCGUAGGGAAACCGUGAAGUGUUCCGCCUGGGGAGUAUGGUCGCAAGGCUGAAACUCAAAGGAAUUGACGG